CUUGAAGAAACCAGAAAUGGCUCUACUGAUGUGCUUCCCCUCACAGAUUCAAGCAACAAAAGUUAUGGCCGUCUUAGAUGUGCUUUCGAAUCAUUCACCCGAUGAGGAGUAUAUUGGUGGGAAUCCAGAGUCAUCUUGGGCUGAAAAUCCUGUCAUCAAGGCCGCAUAUGAGAAAUUCAAUGGCAAUUUGAAGAGGCUAGAAGGAAUUAUUGAUGAGAGGAAUACCAAUUUGAAACUGAAAAACAGAGUUGGAGCAGGCGUCGUUCCAUAUGAGCUUUUGAAGCCAUUCUCAACAUCCGGUGUCACAGGAAUGGGAGUUCCAAACAGCAUCUCCAUCUAAAUUUGAUGAUGAUAUUUGAGGGUGAUGAUGUAAAAGCUCUAUCUAUAUAUAUAUAUAUAUAUU
rnacentral:lncRNA from 1 species